CCGGCGACCGGCGCACGGGUGAGUAACACGUAUGCAACCUGCCCUCUUCAGGGGGACAACCUUCCGAAAGGGAGGCUAAUCCCGCGUAUAUCGGUUUCGGGCAUCCGAGAUCGAGGAAAGAUUCAUCGGAAGAGGAUGGGCAUGCGGCGCAUUAGCUAGACGGCGGGGUAACGGCCCACCGUGGCGACGAUGCGUAGGGGUUCUGAGAGGAAGGCCCCCCACACUGGUACUGAGACACGGACCAGACUCCUACGGGAGGCAGCAG
rnacentral:rRNA from 1 species